rnacentral:rRNA from 2 species
UACAGAGGUCUCAAGCGUUGUUCGGAAUUACUGGGCGUAAAGGGUGCGCAGGCCGCGCGGGCAGUCAAAUGUGUAAUUCAGGGGCUCAACCCCUGGACUGCGCUUGAUACUUCCGUGCUAGAACUUUGGAGAGGAGUCUGGAAUUCUCGGUGUAGCAGUGAAAUGCGUGGAUAUCGAGAAGAACACUAAGGGCGUAAGCAAGACUCUGGACAAAUGUUGACGCUCAUGCACGAAGGCUAGGGGAGCGAACGGG